rnacentral:rRNA from 1 species
ACGGCUCAGUAACACGUAGCUAAUCUACCCUUGAGUCAGGCAUACCCUCGGGAAACUGAGGUUAAUACCUGAUAGAAGAUAUGCCCUGGAAUGACUUAUCUUUUAAAUUCGUGCUCAAGGAUGAGGCUGCGGCGGAUUAGGUUGUUGGCGGGGUAAUAGCCCACCAAGCCGAAGAUCCGUAAGGGCUCUUAGCGGAGAGGCCCUGAGAGGGAAUCUGAGACACUAUUCCCAGCCCUACGGGGUGCAGCAGUUAAGAAUCUUCUGCAAUGCGCGCAAGCGUGACAGAGCGAGCCAAAGUGCGUUUCAAAUUGAAACGCUUUUUUCAGAUCUAAAAAGUCUGGAGAAUAAGGACUGGGUAAGACGAGUGCCAGCCGCCGCGGUAAUACUCGCGGUCCAAAUCGCAGCCAUUUUUAUUGGGUCUAAAACAUCCGUAGCCUGUUUGGUAAGUUCCUUGUGAAAUUCUAUGUCUCAAGCAUAGAGCGUGCAAGGAGUACUGCCUCACUAGAGACCGGAAGAUGUAGGAAGUACGUUCGAAGUAGCGGUAAAAUGUUUUAAUCUCGAGCGGACUCACAAUAGCGAAGGCAUCCUACAAGGACGGUUCUGACAGUAAGGGAUGAAGGCUAGGGGCGCAAAACGGAUUAGAUACCCGUGUAGUCCUAGCAGUAAACACUGCACACUAAACAUCAGUACCUCCUCGAGAGGUAUUGGUGCUGAAGGGAAGCCGAAGAGUGUGCUACCUGGGAAGUAUAGUCGCAAGGCCGAAACUUAAAGGAAUUGGCGGGGGAG